GUCUCUGUGGCGCAAUGGGUUCGCGCGUUCGGCUGUUAACCGAAAGGUUGGUGGUUCGAGCCCACCCAGGGACU
rnacentral:tRNA from 1 species